ACUCAAAUGAAUUGACGGGGACCCGCACAAGCGGUGGAACAUGUGGUUUAAUUCGAUGAUAAGCGAAGAACCUUACCAGGACUUGACAUCUCUAGAAUCCCGCGGAAACGUGGGAGUGCCGCAAGGAGCUAGAAGACAGGUGCUGCACGGUCGUCGUCAGCUCGUGCUGUGAAGUGUCCCGUUAAGUCGGUAAACGAGCGCAACCCCUAUCGUAUGUUGUAUUCUCAUACGAGACUGCCGGUGUUAAAUCGGAGGAAGGCGGGGAUGACGUCAGAUCAGCGUGGCUCUUACGUCCUGGGCGACACACGUGUUACAAUGGGUAGUUACAAAGGGUCGCUAAGCCGCAAGGUGGAGCUAAUCCCAUCAAACCUACCCUCAGUUCGGAUUGGAGGCUGCAACUCGCCUCCAUGAAGCUGGAAUCGCUAGUAAUCGUAGGUCAGCCAUACUACGGUGAAUACGUUCUCGGGUCUUGUACACACCGCCCGU
rnacentral:rRNA from 1 species